GAUGAACGCUAGCUACAGGCUUAACACAUGCAAGUCGAGGGGCAGCAGGGAUUUAGCUUGCUAAAUCCGCUGGCGACCGGCGCACGGGUGCGUAACGCGUAUCCAACUUUCCCGUUACUCAGGGAUAGCCUUCCGAAAGGGAGAUUAAUACCUGAUGGUGUUUGAAGUUCGCAUGUUCUUCAAACUAAAGAUUUAUCGGUAACGGAUAGGGAUGCGUGACAUUAGAUAGUAGGCGGGGUAACGGCCCACCUAGUCUACGAUGUCUAGGGGUUCUGAGAGGAAGGUCCCCCCACACUGGAACUGAGACACGGUCCAGACUCCUACGGGAGGCAGCAGUGAGGAAUAUUGGUCAAUGGCCGGAAGGCUGAACCAGCCAAGUAGCGUGAAGGAUGAAGGUUCUAUGGAUUGUAAACUUCUUUAUAUAGGAAUAAAACCUCCCACGUGUGGGAGCUUGUAUGUACUAUAUGAAUAAGCAUCGGCUAACUCCGUG
rnacentral:rRNA from 1 species